GACAGCGGCCCCGCGCUUUAUUCUGAAUCACUGGGCUUAAAGCGUGUGUAGGCGGAUCGUUAAGUGUCUUGUGAAAUCCCACGGCUCACCCGUGGAACUGCUGGGCAUACUGGCGAUCUUGGGCCAACUAGGGGCAGCCGGAACAAGCGGUGGAGCGGUGAAAUGCUUAGAUAUCGUCAAGAACACCGAUAGUGUAGACAGCUUACUAGACUUCAACUGACGCUGAGGCACGAAAGUGUGGGGAUCAAACAGG
rnacentral:rRNA from 1 species